GACGAACGCUGGCGGCGUGCUUAACACAUGCAAGUCGAACGGAAAGGCCCUGCUUUUGUGGGGUGCUCGAGUGGCGAACGGGUGAGUAACACGUGAGUAACCUGCCCUUGACUUUGGGAUAACUUCAGGAAACUGGGGCUAAUACCGGAUAGGAGCUCCUGCUGCAUGGUGGGGGUUGGAAAGUUUCGGCGGUUGGGGAUGGUCUCGCGGCUUAUCAGCUGGUUGGGGGGGUAGUGGCUUACCAAGGUUUUGACGGGUAGCCGGCCUGAGAGGGUGACCGGCCACAUUGGGACUAAGAUACGGCCCAGACGCCUACGGGAGGCAGCAGUGGGGAAUAUUGCACAAUGGGCGGAAGCCUGAUGCAGCAACGCCGCGUGCGGGAUGACGGCCUUCGGGUUGUAAACCGCUUUCGCCUGUGACGAAGCGUGAGUGACGGUAAUGGGUAAAGAAGCACCGGCUAACUACGUG
rnacentral:rRNA from 1 species